GUGAAUUUGGUGUCAACAUAUCUUAUAUAUAACCAGAGAUAUGAUAAAUUAUGAUAUAAUGGUGUAUUAAGAAUUGGAAUGCAUAAAUAAAUAAAUAAAAAGAAAAUGUUAAGUAAAAGAUGAAAACUUUUGCUUUGGCCUACUUCAUCAUUGGAAUAGAUUACCUCUGGUUCAUUUAAGUGCUUUCAUGUCAAGCUCAGUUUUAGGUAGGGACUCUUUUAUACCCAUUUGGCAGAUACCCUGGUAAAGAGACAUAUCAAGAUGAUCUGAGGUGACUGAGAAGUGGGGACUGGAAUCGCCCUCCGAGAUUUCUAUCAGUUAAGGCUGAUGGUCCUGGAGUGUAUCACUUUUCAAGGUGCUGUUUGAUUAGAUAGUUCUGAAUGGGUUUUGGAUAUUACUAAAUAUCAUAUCACUUCUGAAAGAAUGGGACUCAGUGUCUAAGUAGUGAGGAGAUUGAAAUGAUGUGGUUGGGUUUGGCUGGCAAUGUUCUCAGGAGCUCUCAGGGAGAUUAUGAGGCUUGGCCACCCAGUUACUGAGACAAAUGUCCAGCCUCUUGAGGUGACUAUGUUGGAGGUAACUACAUUAAUUUGAAUGAGUAAGCUCUCAUGUGUUUAACAGACAGUUAACAUUCCUUUGUAUCCAGUCUCAUAAAUGUUUAUAGGCAGAGUUUUUAAACAUGGAGGUACCCAAGGAAUCUAUGAAGGUGUCCAUGCAGGAAUGGUGUGCAGGCAACUACUUAAUCUUCAUGGUAAAUACAAGAAUUAAUGUAUUUGGGAACAGGAUGCAAUGUCCCUUUUAAGUCUGAUCUUUGGUGUAGACACCAGUGGAAACAUGCAAGUAGAAAAAAAAACCUGGGGGAACUAUAAAGUGCUAGAAUGGCUUUAGUCAGACAGAGGUUGGAUGUACAGAAGCCAGGUGUGGUGGUGCAUGCCUGUAAUCCCAAGGACUCCAGAGGCUAAGGCAGGAGGAUUGCAAAUUUUGGGACAGCCUUGGCAAUUUAGCAAGACCUUGUCUCAGAGGUCUCAGGAUGUAGCUCAGUGAUGAAGUGCCCCUGGGUUCAAUCCCCAGUACCCAAAAUAAAUAAAUAAAAUAAAGUUAAAAGAUUAAUUACCUUACAAAUUAUUUGUAAUGGAUUUUGUGUGUGUGCAGUUGUGUGCAGUGGUAGAGGAACCUGUUUUCUCAUGAAGGGAAGGGAAGUGAUGGGUGCAUGAUAUGGGACUCUUGAGUUUGAGGGAAUGAUAAUUGGUU
rnacentral:lncRNA from 1 species